rnacentral:rRNA from 1 species
AUUGAACGCUGGCGGCAGGCCUAACACAUGCAAGUCGAACGAGUGGCGGACGGGUGAGUAAUGUCUGGGAAACUGCCUGAUGGAGGGGGAUAACUACUGGAAACGGUAGCUAAUACCGCAUACCAUCAGAUGUGCCCAGAUGGGAUUAGCUAGUUGGUGGGGUAACGGCUCACCAAGGCGACGAUCCCUAGCUGGUCUGAGAGGAUGACCAGACACACGGGAACUAGGACCGUGUUCAGACCCCUACGGGCGGCAGCAGUGGGGAAUCUUGCAAAAGUGGCGCAAGCCUGAUUCAGCCAUUCGUUGUGUAUGAAGACGGCCUUCGGGUUGUAAAGUACUUUCAGCGUGGAGGCGUUACCCGAAGAAGAAGCACCGGCUAACUCCGUGCCAGCAGCCGCUGUAAUAC